rnacentral:misc_RNA from 1 species
GGUCUAGAGCCUCUCCUGUGAUCAGGUGGCCAACCAAAAUGAGGCAUGUGCCUUAUUGCCUGAGCACGCACCUUUUUCUUGGGGCAGGGUGCAACAAAGGCAUGCUGUUGUAUUUUAACUACCACCAUUUUUUUAUAUAUUUAUUUGAAUGUUAUUUUAUCUAUAUUAUUGAUGUAAGGUUGGACAUUUGUUUAUAUUGCAUUGUAAUUGGCCCAAUUUAAUUUAAAGCAACGAAAAAAGAAUAAGGGCAGUGACCAUAAACAUUUUCAAUUGAAAAUAACAUCAAA